UGCAUGGCUAUCUCUCGCGUGUUCGCGAAUGUUUGCGAAUCUCUUCUUCGAGAUGAAAAGAUUGUGUCGAUAUAAUGAUAAUUUUGCAAAUUGCGGACGAAAAUGAUCGUGGGAUCAUUGUCCAACAUUGAUGAUUUAACGAAGGACGCGUGUCGAUCGCGUAGUGCGAAAUUAAUUCUCGUGAUUAAAUAACACGAUUUUUUAAAUGUAAUUAAAUGUCAUUUGUGCAAAUAUAAUUAAUAAUAAAGUGCAAUUUUAAAGUGAAAUAUGAAACGGGAACAAUAAAGACAAUGAAAGUGAUUGCAUCGAUAGUGAAUCGCAAGAAAAAUGUAAAGAAGUUGCGGCUCUUUCAAUUAUGUAUAUGAUACGAAAAAUUGAUGUCAAAACGUUGAAAUGCAAGAAAAUUUUUAGAAAACUUUACGAAGACAUGCUAUUGUAACGAAUACAAUUGUUAUAUUAUGAGGAUUUCAGAAUUCGCAAAAUAUACGUCGUCGAACUUCUGUAAUUAUUUUCUUCUUGAAGAAAGCACAGUUAUUUACAUUAGCUGUGCUUUAAAUUCAGUGAUUAAGCGAAAAAAUUCACCUAAAAGAGUACUUGAUGCUCAUGAAAAGUUGAGACGCGCAAUCGGCUUAAAAGUAAAGCGGCUUCGAUUUUAUCGGAGAUUCGAACGAGUAGUAAAUCUCACUUUAGUCAGACGACGAAUAUCGAGAAUGUAAAAAAUAUUCUGUAGUUGUAAUUUUUUUUUAAGAGAAUUUAGAUUGAUGAUCCGUAAUCUAUAAUACGAAGAGUCUAAUCAUCUUCUCUCGCUGUGUUAUGUAUUAGUUUAGAUAAAGAAAAGGGUAAAAAAUUUAUUACAAAUUUUAUAGAAAACGGAAAUGAAACAUAAUAAAAUUAUGCAUGCAAUUAAAAGAUGAUCAACAGAAGCAGAUAAUACAUUUAUGGCACUAACGUUUCAAGGAUGAGAAUCCCAAAGGUAUUAUAGGCAAGAUAAUCGCUUAUUUCAAGGUUACUUGCAAGUGGAACAACCAUUAGAAAUUUCAUCAUGAGUGUCUCUCAGAAAAAAGUCUUUCUAACAUCAACAUCGAUUCUAAACUUAUAAAAAACGCAAGAGCGUACUAUUUCCUAUUUUCUAUUUCAGUAAUAAUAUUGACAUUGCCUUUUAAAUAUCCAAUAAUAGAAAAUUUUCUGUGGAAGAAACUUUUGCGUGACAAAAAGUUUGAUUUAAACUUUAUCGAUGUGUUAUUGUAAAACGGCCUUUUAAAUUAUAUGCCUGCAAAGUUACGAAGGACGACAGGAACAAAUUUUAACAACGUCAUUUCCAACGGUAAUGGUGACACAGAAAUCUGGAUCAAUAACGCAUUUUUUGAACAGUCAUUUAAAUGUUCGCUUGGUAGUGUCGCGUAAUGAAAUUACUAGCGUCUAAUUCUAUACUGUUCUAGCAUCCGUUCGCAACUACGCGGCUAAUGAAGUUAACACGUGGUAAUUGCCCUAAGUGCAUCGGACAGGUUGAAUGCUUCUAGCAAAAGAACGGUAGAGAAAGGAUCGCGCAAACAGGAGGAGACUUCUUUGUUAUUACACAUUAUGCGAUUCGUCGAACGUCCGAUCACACAGAUUAAAUUUUGAUCAAGAAAUGGGGCAACCUUCGACGAUUCAGCGGAAUCAAUUGUGUCUCACAUGCCUAAUGAGUCACUCGCGUGAGACACGCUUGAAGCUUACCACGAAUCUUCUUUAUCUGUUGAAUUGUUAAUGUUAAUCGAAACUAAUUAACUUCCAAGAAGCAAGGAAGAAAAGGAAAGAAAGGAAGAAGAAAUUAGUUACUCAUAGGAAUCGAAGUAAGCCGGGUAAUUUUGAUGAACACUUUUUCGUUCACCAAUUUUCAUCGUUCGAGAAAAUAAAAAAGAUUCGAGAGCCAGGAUCAUCCGUAUUUUUUGACGAAAUGACAUGACGUGCGUCACGACGCGUGUCGUGCCCAUAAGAGAAUGGUAGCUAUAGCGAAAUCGUCUAAUCGAUGGAAGUCGUGACACACUCAUCUACAUACACGCAUUUGUCGACCGACUUUGCAAACUUCUACUUUUCAAACGAAAAUAGUAUGACUGAAACAAACAAAGAUAAUUUGCAACGAAAUAUUUCAUCUGCGCACGUGUGCAUCUCAACGGAUAAUAUCACAAAAGAGUGAAAAUGGAGCUGUUGCGAACUAUCUAUUCUUAGCGCGAAGCGAGUCUCUUGAUCUCUUGAUUUGUUUUUUUUUCCAUGUGAGUGGCGAUUAAACUUUUACGGAACCGUUCGCUCUGAUGGGAAAUAUCGACAUAAAGUCGCUAUUUUUUGUGUCAUAUAUUCCGAGAGGAAGUAAAUAUAAUAUGCACUAUUUGAUGUGAAAAUGAAUUAUCAAACUCAUACAGUAUUAAUUUUCGAGCCGUAACAUCGAUAAGAGAAUAAAGGUCAAAGCUUUAACGAAUGAAAUAAUUUUUCAACAAGUUUGUGCUGGAAUUUAGUAUCCAGGAUCAGGCGUUUGUCCAUAAAUAUACAUUACAUUUAUAAUCGGCGUGGAAUUAAAAUACGUGGAAUUAAAAUACGUGAGAUUUAAAUUGGAAAAUUCAACAGAAGAUUUUUAAAAAUAUAUAGGUGUUGCAAAAGAUUGCAAAAUAUUACGCGAUGGGCCGGAAACAGAAACGCCGCCUGAUACCGGAACAAGACCGUAGAAUUUGCGGUAGCAUUUGCUUCUUCCAGUUCACCUUCGUCAUCAGUUGCGUAGCUUUGGUUUAUCUCGGCGUAGCGAUCUACGCGCCGUCGUACAGAGCUUUCCACAUUGGCAUUGAGCCGGAACCGGUGAUGUGCCAAACUGUUAAUGCCUCGAUGGUGAAUAAUUGCGGCUGGGCUAGUUGCGGCGAAUGGUGUUUGACGAAGUCGAGCGGCUUUUGUCCCCAGUUUCACGCAACCGUGAGACGUAAUGGCACUGACGUGAUUUUCGAAAAUUGCACCAAGUUCAAUACAAUCGCGUGCCCUCAGGUAAACAUGGAGAACAUGAAAAGAUAUAAUUGCAACAACGGCAGCGAGUGCAGUAUGUUGACGGGGGUGUUCAACUGCAGCCUCGGACAUUGUUCAAACAUGAGCGAUCUGAUGCUUUGUCAUCACAAGGCCGACGGCAUUGUCAUCGAUAGCGAGAAGGAUAACAUGAAACUGAAUGGCUUCUUCAGCUGUCAACACUCUAGAUGCACGAAAAUCAAGAACGCUUUCAAUUGCGACCGAUACUGUCCGAGCAUUAAUACUACUGACGUGAACGUGUAUCUAAUGCAAGACGACAGUGUGAUAUCAGCCAAGUGCUCCCGUGGGAUGGCCUUGAACAGAGCGAACGGUAGCCUACCUGGUAUCAGAUUGAACGAGCCUGUUAAAAUCUGGGACGAAAAAAACAGCAGUAUCGUCGCAAGCUGUUUCGCCGUAACGAAGAAUGGCAAUGUCAUCAGCACAGAGGAUUGCGUGAAUGGUACGUUGUUGGGUGAGAUUCUGGUUCCCAAACCGUCCAUUAAUUUCACGAGUUUCCUGAAAAUUUAUGAGAAGAGCCUACGGUAUCCGGCGGACCCCACGAACGCCUAUGUUCCGGCGCAGCAAUCUUUGACUAUCUACAACAGCUCGCGAUUAUAUAUCAACCUCGAGCGUUGCGUCAACACCUUGAGAGGCGAGUGUAGACAAUUUCAGCUCACUCACGGUCGUGAUGGCGACAAUCAGACCGCGCAGAGUCGAUAUCCCUGUUAUUACAACAAGAACGACUCGUUAUUCGUGGUUGCACGUUUCGAUCUGAAGAAGACACGAAUGGAGCUGUUGAUCGCCGUUAUCGUGCCGGCUGGACUCUUCAUCAUCAGUGUGAUCACCCUGAUUAUCAUUUCGCGAUCGGUGCAGGUGGGAGACGACGCGAAGAUGCGAUGCAGAUACUGCGUUGAUAAGCAAGAGGUCGAGGGCGAAGACCAAGGCCUCGUAGAGGCAACGUCCUCCACGACUCAAAGUCAGGUCAAUGAGAACGAGAUUAGAAGUAUGACUCUUUAGCAGUACAAGCCGCUCGGCAUAGGCACUACGCUGGGUUAUGAAAAGCUGCCAUUGAUCGACAUGGACGAGGCUGAGGAUUCCUUUUAGAAGAAAAUGCGAGACCUAAUUUUCAAAAGAUCGUGAUGCUGGAAAGAUCCAUCCAAGACAAAACUCUACAGAUAAAAUCCAAAUAAGUAUUAGAUGAUUGGAAGAGAAAAUUUGCAAUUAGAGAAGGUACGUGUCAACAUAAACGGCUCGAAAGAUCACUAUCAACUUAAACAAGCUUGCGAGUUGUUUCUGAAAUAACCUACCCUACUUCGAAUAGGGCGUGCAGAGGACACGCUCGUGAUCGAUAGACAUGUACUAUCUUUUCCUAAGCACGUGGAUCAAUGGAGGCGACUUAAAGGUACGUUCUCGCUCUGGAAUAUCUCAUGAGUAGUAAUCAAAUCGAUUCUAUUUCGUAAUUAU
rnacentral:misc_RNA from 1 species